AAUCUUCCUUUGUCUACUUUAAGUUCCUGAUUGACUAACUUAAAAUAGACAAAGUGAGAGUU
rnacentral:pre_miRNA from 1 species